rnacentral:rRNA from 1 species
GACGAACCGUGCGAACGUUAUUCGGAAUCACUGGGCUUAAAGCGCGUGUAGGCGGGCCGGCACGUCGGAUGCUGAAAGCCCCCGGCUCAACCGGGGAAGUGGCACCGAUACGACCGGCCUGGAGGGGGGUAGGGGGAGCCGGAACUUCCGGUGGAGCGGUGAAAUGCGUUGAGAUCGGAAGGAACGCCCGUGGCGAAAGCGGGCUCCUGGACCCCACCUGACGCUGAGACGCGAAAGCCAGGGGAGCGAACGGG